GUCUCGGCUGUGGUGUGACUGUCCGUCUGUGUCCCCCACCAGGCCCACUGCUCAGUGGAGUGUGGAAGACGAGGAGGAGGCCACCCGCAACCCAUGCCGGCA
ensembl:miRNA